ensembl:lncRNA
CCCGCUCGCUCGGCAUCGCCCCAUGCGUCGCGUAAGCGCCACGCAAACGCGGAUGCGGCCCCGCACGCCCCACCGCGACUCUCAGACAGCAAAGCCGCAAAAGGAUAUUUCAUGAAGGAAUCCCAUUUCAUGGAAUGAGAGGCCAAUCUUUAAUUGCUUUCCAGGGAAUUUCUGAUGAUCUCAGGUGAGCGCAGAAAACAGCCUGACUAAUGGAAACAUGAUCUCAAGAGAUUCCUUCAGGAUCAUACUUAAUCCUGGUUUGGACUGUGGACAUAGCAUCGCCUGCAGCAGAUGUUUGCUCCUGGCAUGGCUGCAAACUGCAUGAGCUCCAUCACCGACAAUCCAGUUCUCGGGAUGCAUCGCCAGCAGCUUGGACACGGAGAAGCUGUGACACAAACUCAGCAGGACAGUGGAGUGUAUUCUGCUGCUCGGAUAUUAUGGAACAGACCGGUCAACCUCGUCUGGAGAGGCACUCGAUAGGAAAAUCAGCUCUAUGAGGCUACGAUUACCGCGGUUACCACAAUGGAUCUACACAUUGUUUGACUUUUUCUAAAUUGAACCUGGAUUAAUAUUUCCCUGUAUAUACAUCUGCUUUUGAUAUUCAGUGUUUAUUCCCGCUGUUGCUCAUUCCCUGCACUUAUAUACUGUGUUAUUCUGGAUACAGUAUCAACAAAUGCUGGAACAGUAAACGGAAAAUAAUCAGCUGUUAUUUCCUCUUUAGGUCUAUUAUUUUUACAGGAGGAAGGCAGCACUUACACCAAUCUCGUAAGGAGCAAACUAAAUGUUUUCCUGUUGAAUUAAUUAACACACAUAGGAAUUGUCACAGGGAUUACUCAAUUAAUAAACAUUCAACAUCUUCCAAUUAAGAAAAGAUAAUCCUUUAUUAGUCCAGCAGCAGGGAAAUUACAACAAUUGCCUUCACAAUGAAGCCAUUGAACCAAAGGUGCUUAUGAAUACAACUAUUGACAACUCUUUGGGAGUCUUGUUCAUUCUGGUUGAGGAAUCUUUUCCAACUCUUUGAUCUGAUAAAGACGUAUUGCUUCAUCGGACUUGUCUGUGUAACCCUCGAACAGAAAUAAAAAAGAAAAGGUGUAAUCAA